rnacentral:rRNA from 1 species
GAUGAACGCUAGCUACAGGCUUAACACAUGCAAGUCGAGGGGCAGCAUGUCGGUUGCUUGCAACCGACGAUGGCGACCGGCGCACGGGUGAGUAACGCGUAUCCAACCUACCCUUGUCCAUCGGAUAACCCGUCGAAAGGCGGCCUAACACGAUAUGCGGUUCUCAGCAGGCAUCUAACGAGAACGAAAUGUGAAGGAGAAGGAUGGGGAUGCGUCUGAUUAGCUUGUUGGCGGGGUAACGGCCCACCAAGGCGACGAUCAGUAGGGGUUCUGAGAGGAAGGUCCCCCANAUUGGAACUGAGACACGGUCCAAAACUCCUACGGGAGGCAGCAGUGAGGAAUAUUGGUCAAAUGGGCGAGAGCCUGAACCAGCCAAGUAGCGUGCAGGACGACGGCCCUAAUGGGUUGUAAACUGCUUUAUAAGGGAAUAAAGUGAGUCUCGUGAGACUUUUUGCUAUGUACCUUAUGAAUAAGGACCGGCUAAUUCCGUGCCAGCAGCCGAC